rnacentral:lncRNA from 1 species
UGGUUAUAUCCGUUAUUUCCGUAGUUGUUCUUGACCUGUCAGUUAAUUUUCUGCUGUAAGUUUCUGUGUCUGUGGAGGUUAUUUCUGUUAUUUCCGUUGUUUCCGUUAUUUCCGUUAUUAUUUACGUUGUUUUUUCUGUUAUUUCCGUUAUUAUUUUUGUUAUUUUGGUUUUUUCUGUUAUUUCCGUUGUUGUUCUUGACCUGUCACCUAAUUUUCUGCCGUAUGUUUCUGUCUCUCUGGAGCUUCUUUCCGUUUUUUCCGUUUUUUC